AGCGAACGCUGGCGGCAUGCCUAACACAUGCAAGUCGCACGGGGGGGCUUCGGCCUCCCAGUGGCGGACGGGUGAGGAACGCGUAGGGACCUGUCGAGGGGUGGGGGAUAACCGCGGGAAACUGCGGCUAAUACCGCAUGACGCCGCGGCGUGACAGCCGGGGCCAAAGGCGAAAGCCGCCCGCCGAGGGGCCUGCGUCCGAUUAGCUGGUUGGCGGGGUAGCGGCACACCAAGGCGUCGAUCGGUAGCUGGUCUGAGAGGGUGAUCAGCCACACCGGGACUGAGACACGGCCCGGACUCCUACGGGAGGCAGCAGUGGGGAAUAUUGGACAAUGGGCGCAAGCCUGAUCCAGCAAUGCCGCGUGGGUGAAGAAGGUCUUCGGAUUGUAAAGCCCUUUCGGCGGGGACGAUGGUGACGGUACCCGCAGAAGAAGCCCCGGCUAACUUCGUG
rnacentral:rRNA from 1 species